AAAGCAAAUGUUGGGUGAACGGC
rnacentral:ncRNA from 2 species